CAUAACAUAUCUAUCACAAUAGCACAGAAAGUGGAUAUAAGGAGUAUCCAAAGGCGCUUAGCUUUGAAGAAAUUUGCCAAGAGUAAAAAUCUUGGAGAAUAAGUGGGGGGAAAGACUGGGGCCAGCCGCCGCGGUAACACCAGCGCCACGAGGGGGGAUCCUGAUUUUUUGGCCUAAAGCGUCCGUAGCUGGUUUAGUAAAUCUCUUGGGAAAUCGUGGGGCUCAACCCAACGGCGUGCAGGGGAGACUGCUAGAUUAGGGACGGGGAGGGGUCGGAGGUAUGCCGGGGGGGGCGGUAAAUUGUUUUAAUCCCUAUUAAACCACCUGUGGCGAAGGCGUCUGAUUAGAAGGGGUCCGACAGUGAGGGACAAAAGCCAGGGGAGCAAACCGGAUUAGAUACCCGAGUAGCCCUGGCUGUAAACCCUGCGAGCUAGGUGUUGCACAUUCUCCGCGAAUGUGCAGGGUCGAAGCAAAGGUGUUAAGCUCCCCGCCUGGGAAGUAUGGUCGCAAGACUGAAACUUAAAGGAAUUGGCGGGGGAAAGGGCGAAUUCCCGCCCGUUAAAUUCAAUUCCCCCUAUGGGGAGUCGUAUUACAAUUCACUGGCCGCCGUUUUAAAAA
rnacentral:rRNA from 1 species